rnacentral:lncRNA from 1 species
UUUGUAGCUUUUGGUUCAGCAACAGCUCCUGCACAUGAUUUCCCAAAAUUCAUACACAGAACGUCAUCAAUUAAGUAUAACACAAGAAUAGGUGAUAUAAUUUGACAAAAAAAAAAGACGAUUAAAAAGAAGGAAUUGCAAGAUUAAAAAGUUAAAAGGAGUUGAAGAUAAAAACCUAAUAAAUAGAAUGGGAAGGGGGUGUUAAUAGUAAAAAUAGAUACCUGGAAGGGUGCAGGAAAUGGAUUUGGAUGGAAAAAAAAGAGUGGGUUGUUGUUUUCUGGGAGGAAAGGGUAAGAUUGAAGUGAAGGAAGAGGUGUUGACGCCGUAUAACAUGUUUGAAUAGAAUUGAAGUUCAGAGACGACAGUGUUUUGGGCUUUAAUUCGCGGAGUUAGUUAGAAUGAUUAUGAUACGGUACGGGGAGAACCACGGGAAGGAUAAGGAAAUCUAACAACCAAUCAUAAUCCAUUCUUCUGGGUACUCAUUUCUGCCAUGUCACCACAAACACCCUCGCUGGAGUUACACGCAAU